AACAAUGUCAAUUUUUAUUACAACAAAUCUCUGACAUUCACACAUCAAAAGUAAGUCAGUAUAAUUCAGGUCAAUUUUGCGAACAUGAAUUUGCUACUAAAAGUUUCUUUGAUAAUUGGACCAAUACUUAAUACGAUGUUUUUGCGUGCCCUGGUUCAGUGGGUAGGACUGCGUCAGAAAAUGCACAUAGUUAUGCUGAAGUACAAUGAAACGGUAGAGUAUUUUAAAUAAUUAACCAAAUAUGUAUUCAAUACGCACCGAAGGCUAUUUUAUGAUAUAUUUAUAAUUAUACACUAUUUCCGAAUAAAAUAAAUUAAUGUACUCAAAUCACUGAAGUUGUACACAAUUAAGUUAUAUUUAUAAAGAUGAGUUGAAAAAUAAAUCGAAAAAAAAUAAA